GAUUGUUCACUGGAUUUCUUGGGGGAGAAGCAAAUGAAUUACCACCAAAAAGACACAAAUACAUAGGGCACUUGUAUACGGUUACUGACUUACUCGGUAAACACCCUGAUCUUAUGGAUGAGUUCAAUCACUUCUUGGUGCGUUCUGAGAAUAUCGAUGGCUUCCUUGCAGGCGUUGUGAGUAAAAAAUCACUGAGUGAUGGACAUGUAUCCA